rnacentral:lncRNA from 1 species
AAUUCUAAUGUUAUAGAUACAGCAUUUUUUUAUUUUUUUUCAACUACAAAAUUUAUUUUGAGUUAAUUUUUAUUAUUUAAUUUGGUUAUUUUCUUGGUGGUAUUAUUUCGCAGUGUAUGACUCAAAGAAAGAACAAGCUCCUUUCGUUUAAUCCUAAACCUAAAAGAACAUUACACAAUAAAAGAGGAAUAAUUCCAAGGGAAGAGCCAUCAUACAUUGAUCAAUAAAGAGAAAAUCCACUUUUUGAGGAACAACAAGA